CAAAAAUCAGAAUUUUUUUGAGGCGAAAAAAGCGGAUUUUUGGGUUGAAAAAAGCGGAUUUUUGGGCCAAAAAUCAGAUUUUUUUGGGUCGAAAAUCAGAAUUUUUUGGGGACAAAAAUCAGAAUUUUUUGCGUCGAAAAUCAGAAUUUUUUGGGACAAAAAUCGGGAUUUUUUCAGGAUGAAAAAGGCGGAUUUUUGGGACGAAAACGGGGAUUUUUUUGGGGUGAAAAAAGGGGAUUUGGGGUCUCAGCGCACCAUGUACUCCUUGCGCUUGUGCAGGCGGCUCUGGCACAGGGAGAAGCCGCCCAGCAGCGCGUAGAGCCC